UAAUGACCAUAGCAGAGGGUGCUUCUCAUUGCAACCGUAGUUGAUAAAUUGGCUAAAAUGGGUUGGGACAGACAUGUAACUCUAGGAAGGCUUUAAAAACAACUCCUCCAUUUGGACUUAGAAAUUAAGAUCUUAUUAUCUCAUCACAAUUGGGAUUGUCCCGUCGACAACGACCAUCGGAGUGAGUCCAGGCUGGAAAGAAAAUAAAAUUAAACAGUUUUUUUUUAAGUUAAAAUAAAUAAUUCUAAUGAAAAACUUA